GGGACCGUCGUUAAACUCUCGCUAACCUAGAACCGAGGGAUCGCUGGUCCCCGCCUCCUCACUCACUUGCUCUCGUCGUCAUCGGGGUCGAGAGGAGCAUGCGCGAGGCGAUGUGUGCUCUUCAGUGGGCUGAGCGUACAUCGCCCACGGUCCCCGAGAAGUAGGGGGAGGGGACGGCGAUUGAACCAGUGCCUGAUGGAGUUGGCGCGGGGUAAACUGGGAAAGUGGUGUCGUGUGCUGGCUCCGCCCCCUUCCCCGAGGGUGGGGGAGGACCGUAUAUAAGUGCCGCAGCCGCCUUGAACGUUCUUUUUCGCAACGGGUUUGCCGCCAGAACACAGGUGUCGUGAAAACCACCGCUCAACCUAAAC